rnacentral:rRNA from 1 species
UUUGAAAGCUGGCGUCUUCGGCGUCCGCGUUGUAAUCUCGAGACGUGUUUUCCGUGCGGCUCUAUGGACAAGUCCCUUGGAACAGGGCAUCGUAGAGGGUGAAAAUCCCGUACUUGCCAUGGAAGUACCGUGCUUUGUGAUACACGCUCCAAGAGUCGAGUAGUUUGGGAUUGCUGCUCAAAGUGGGUGGUAGACUCCAUCUAAAGCUAAAUAUCGGGGAGAGACCGAUAGCGAACAAGUACCGUGAGGGAAAGAUGAAAAGCACUUUGGAAAGAGAGUUAAAAGUACGUGAAAUUGUCGAAAGGGAAGCACUUGAAGUCAGCCAUGCUGCUUGAGACUCAGCCUGGCUUUUGCUUGGUGUAUUUCUCGGUAGCAAGCCAGCAUUGGUUUGUGUCGUCGGAAAAGCGUAUGGGGAAUGUGGCAUCCUCGGAUGUGUUAUAGCCCUGUGCAGGAUACGACGACGUAGACCAAGGAACGCAGUGUGCCCUCU